AGAGCGAACGCUGGCGGCAGGCUUAACACAUGCAAGUCGAGCGGGCGUAGCAAUACGUCAGCGGCAGACGGAUGAGUAACGCGUGGGAACAUACCUUUUGGUUCGGAACAACACAGGGAAACUUGUGCUAAUACCGAAUAAGCCCUUACGGGGAAAGAUUUAUCGCCGAAAGAUUGGCCCGCGUCUGAUUAGCUUGUUGGUGAGGUAACGGCUCACCAAGGCGACGAUCAGUAGCUGGUCUGAGAGGAUGAUCAGCCACAUUGGGACUGAGACACGGCCCAAACUCCUACGGGAGGCAGCAGUGGGGAAUAUUGGACAAUGGGCGCAAGCCUGAUCCAGCCAUGCCGCGUGAGUGAUGAAGGCCCUAGGGUUGUAAAGCUCUUUUGUGCGGGAAGAUAAUGACGGUACCGCAAGAAUAAGCCCGGCUAACUUCGCGCCAGCAGCCGC
rnacentral:rRNA from 1 species